rnacentral:misc_RNA from 1 species
CAACCCUCGAACCCCUCCGGGGGGUCGGCGUUGGGGAUCGGCCCUUUCACCGGGUGCCGGCCCCUAAAUACAGUGGCGGUCUCGCCGCAGCCUCUCAUGCGCAGUAGUUUGCACACUCGCACCGGGAGCGCGGCGCGUCCACGUCCGUAAAACACCCCAAACUUCUGAAA